rnacentral:rRNA from 1 species
ACAACUUUCAACAACGGAUCUCUUGGCUCUCGCAUCGAUGAAGAACGCAGCGAAAUGCGAUAAGUAAUGUGAAUUGCAGAAUUCAGUGAAUCAUCGAAUCUUUGAAUGCACCUUGCACCCUUUGGUAUUCCAAAGGGUACACCCGUUUGAGUGUCAUUG